rnacentral:rRNA from 1 species
AGUGAACGCUGGCGGUAGGCCUAACACAUGCAAGUCGAACGGCAGCACAGUAAGAGCUUGCUCUUACGGGUGGCGAGUGGCGGACGGGUGAGGAAUACAUCGGAAUCUACUUUUUCGUGGGGGAUAACGUAGGGAAACUUACGCUAAUACCGCAUACGACCUACGGGUGAAAGCAGGGGAUCUUCGGAUCUCGCGCGAGUGUAUGACCCGAUGUCGGAUUAGCUAGUUGGCGGGGUAAAGGCCCACCAAGGCGACGAUCCGUAGCUGGUCUGAGAGGAUGAUCAGCCACACUGGAACUGAGACACGGUCCAGACUCCUACGGGAGGCAGCAGUGGGGAAUAUUGGACAAUGGGCGCAAGCCUGAUCCAGCCAUACCGCGUGGGUGAAGAAGGCCUUCGGGUUGUAAAGCCCUUUUGUUGGGAAAGAAAAGCAGCAGGUUAAUACCCCGCUGUUCUGACGGUACCCAAAGAAUAAGCACCGGCUAACUUCGUG